UCUUGGUACAUCCUGCCAUGAGUGCCA
rnacentral:piRNA from 1 species